rnacentral:rRNA from 1 species
CCUACGGGAGGCAGCAGUGGGGAAUAUUGCACAAUGGGCGAAAGCCUGAUGCAGCAACGCCGCGUGAGCGAUGAAGGCCUUCGGGUCGUAAAGCUCUGUCCUCAAGGAAGAUAAUGACGGUACUUGAGGAGGAAGCCCCGGCUAACUACGUGCCAGCAGCCGCGGUAAUACGUAGGGGGCUAGCGUUAUCCGGAAUUACUGGUCGUAAAGGGGUCGUAGGUGGUUUCUUAAGUCAGAGGUGAAAGGAUACGGCUCAACCGUAGUAAGCCUUUGAAACUGGGGAACUUGAGUGCAGGAGAGGAGAGUGGAAUUCCUGGUGUAGCGGUGAAAUGCGUAGAGAUUAGGAGGAACACCAGUUGCGAAGGCGGCUCUCUGGACUGUAACUGACACUGAGGCACGAAAGCGUGGGGAGCAAACAGGAUUAGAUACCCGAGUAGUC